UAGGGAUUCAGGGAGGGUUUGUCUAAACUCUAAAAGCGCGGAUUUUUCUCCUUUACCGCUUAUCUCACUCUACGAACACAAAAACGAUGUCAAUUGAAGCUCCGGAGCUGGGCACUGCCACUUCUAACUGGUAGAAAGCUAACAGUCCACCGGGGAAGAGCAGCUCGAAGUGGCGGAGAAUGAUUUGGGUAUGAUGUGAUGUGGGCUGCUAUGGGGAGGCCUGUUCUGUUGUGCAAUCACAAUAAUUUCUCUAUAGCUCAAGGUUUUGCUUUAUGGGUCUGUCUAUAUUUCCAAAAAGAUCCUCUUUUUAUUUCAUAUUUGUGGGGUUGCGAGAAUCGGGUGUUUUCGGAAGGAAGAAAAUCGUUGUAGAAAGAGGCUAUUGUCGAAAUUUUGGUGGUGUUUCGUCCGCUUUAGUAUUGGAUGAUUCUGAUUCUUGUUCAAAUGGUGAAAGCAGUGGGGAAUAUGAGCCAAUUGUUCCGAUUAUUUCGAGAAAAAGACUGCAUAGGUGCAAGGAGCUGGGACUAUGUUCUGUUGUUGUGAGGGUGUACAAAUCAUUGAGCUGGGAGGCAGCUAGAGAGAUUAGUUUUGAAAGAGCAAUGGAAAGGUAUGGGCUUUUCCAAUCGAUCACCGCCUUUAAGAUGCUUGUGCAUAUUUUUGCAUAUGUUGGAAUGCGUAUGGAAAUGUAUGCCUUGCUUAAAGAUAUUGUUUUCUAUUUCCAGAAGGCUGAGUUUGAAUUAGAUAAGCUACUCCCGCAUUUGCUGAAUUCAUCCACUGAUGCAAAAAUAUCAGCUUCGGUGGUUGAUGUUCUUAUCAAGGUUUUUGCUGCGAAUAAAAUGCUUGAAAAUGGAGUCAAUGCAUAUUUCCAUGCUCGGAAACUUGGGCUUAAAUUAAGUAAUUUCUCGUGCAACUUCUUACUGAAGUGCUUAGCAGAAGCGAGCAGGAGGGAACUUCUUCAAUCUUUGUUUGAAGCGAUGAAGCAGUUUGGACCGUCACCCACUGUUUAUACAUACACGAUUAUGGUGAGCUUCUAUUGCACCCAGCAUAAGGUGGAUAUAGAAGAAGUGGCCAAUAUUAUGGAGGAAAUGAUUACUAGAGGGAUUAGCCCAUCUGUUGUAACAUAUAGUGUUUAUAUCCAUGGACUAUGUAGAGCUGGUUGUGUUGGCUCUGCUUUGAAUUUCAUUCGAGACUUGAGGCAUAAAAAUCAACUACUAAACUCUUAUUGCUAUAAUGCUGUUAUUCAUGGAUUCUGUGAAAAGGGUGAAGUAGUUGAAGCUAUGAAUCUUUUUGAAGAAAUGAAGAGUUGCGGAGUCCCACCAGAUGUAUACAGCUAUAGUAUUUUGAUUGAUGGGUUUUCCAAAUGCGGGAAUGUUGAGAAAGGUCUUUGUUUAAUAGAGGAGAUGGAAGCUCGUAACAUAAAACCAUCCCUUGUUAGCUAUAGUUCACUCUUAAACGGUCUUUGCAGAACGGGACGGAAGGAAAAAUCAAUUAAUCUGUUUUAUAAGUUAGAGGAAUCUGGAUAUAAGCAUGACCGGGGUGCUUACCACAUCUUAAUAAAUGGACUUUGCUUGCAGGGUGAUUUGGUCUCCGCUCAUAAGCUCUUGAAAGAGAUGAUCGGCAAUAACUUGACCCCCAAUAUCUUUACCCUCAAUUCUAUUAUUAAUGGCUACUGUAGUGAAGGGCAUAUAAUGGAAGCUUUGCAGCUCAUUGAUGAGACAAGAGGCCAAGGUUUUAUUCCUAAUCUGCAUACAUACAAUGCAGUAAUUAAAGGGCUGUGCAAAGAAGGUAACUCAGAGAAGGCACUGGAAGUAAUACCGUUAAUGCUUAAGAUGAAUAUAUUACCUGGUCUUGUAAGUUAUAGCACUCUUAUUAACGGUUUUGCUAAACAGUUAAACUUCCAGAAGGCCUUUCUGCUGUACAAAAGAAUGGUAAAAGUUGGGAUUAAUCCGGACACAACCCUGUAUACCAUUAUCAUUAAUAUGUUAUGCACAAUGGGCAAGGUGAACGAAGCCUAUAAACUUUUUAGGGAAAUGGGCUGUGAGGGAUUGAAUCUUGACAAUAUCUCUUACACAUCUAUUAUAGCUGGAUUUUGUAGAGUUGGAGAUAUGAACAAAGCAUUGAGAUUGUUUGAAGACAUGAAACAAAGAGAAAUCUUGCCUUCUCGUGUUACUUAUACUUGUCUAAUAGAUGGGUUUUGCAAGGUCAAUCGUAUCGAUAUGGCCAACUGGUUGCUAGAUGAGAUGAGAAGGCAGAAUUUGUCUCCCGAUAAGGUUACAUAUACUGUUCUGAUAUGUGCAUACUUCAGACUUGGACAAGUGGGUAGGGCUGAUGAACUGUUUGACCAAAUGAAGAAGGAAGGCAUUGUUUCAGACUUUCAGGUGACUCAUUCAAAGAUGAAAGGCUAAAAACUCGAAGAAGCUAGUUCAACGAUGAUGUAGCAUUUGCUAUUAAGUUCAGUUGAAUUUGGAAGGUGCUUUGUGUACUAGCUGCAAAAGCAUUACCGGGUGCAGCCCGCAUUAUAAUACCCUUGCGUGUUGAAGAUCAAGGCAUCGAACUGCGGAAACGAAAAUUCAGCCCCGAGAAGUGGUAUUGCUAUUCCACAGCUACACUGACUUGUUGAUCAAAUGAACAGUGCGUUCUGUUACAUGAACGGAUAGAUACAUCAGCAUAAAGAUGUUAACAGGUCAGUAUCUAGUUAUGCUGUGAGCUGUUGCAUACUUGCAUGGAUUUUGUAUGUAUAAUAUACUCAAAACGCUUUAUGUUAAACGAUUAUCUCGUUAAGGAAGCUCAUUAGUUAGAUGUAACAGUUAAGACUUCUCCAAUGGCCACCCAGGAAAGUGGGAAUUGAAUUUUGUGAUUGUUGAAAUAUAGAAAAUGGAAACUCUAGCAUAGCCCUAGUUGUAACGCAGCUUAUUAGUUAGACCCAUUAUAUUCCUAUAUAAGCAGGUGUAUUAUGUAUAUAACACAAUAUCAUCAUCACCAUCAUACAUCUCUUUUGGUUUUCACAUACUAAACUUUUGUGAACAUGACGGGCAGUGGUGCUUUUUUUUU